rnacentral:rRNA from 1 species
CCUACGGGACGCAGCAGUGAGGAAUAUUGGUCAAUGGACGAGAGUCUGAACCAGCCAAGUAGCGUGAAGGAUGACUGCCCUAUGGGUUGUAAACUUCUUUUAUAUGGGAAUAAAACGUUCCACGUGUGGGAUUUUGUAUGUACCAUAUGAAUAAGGAUCGGCUAACUCCGUGCCAGCAGCCGCGGUAAUACGGAGGAUCCGAGCGUUAUCCGGAUUUAUUGGGUUUAAAGGGUGCGUAGGCGGAUUUUUAAGUCAGCGGUAAAAUGUCCGGGCUCAACCCGGGCCGGCCGUUGAAACUGGGGAUC